AGCCACGUGAUGAGCACAGAGCAAGCUAUUCUUUCACCUUUUACUAAAGAAUACCGCGUGCCUGUCACAACUAGUGGCAUAUGUUCUAUUUCUGGACGAGUUCCUUAACUGGG